rnacentral:rRNA from 1 species
AACCUCCGCAAUGUGAGAAAUCGCGACGGGGGGAUCCCAAGUGCCAUUCUUAACGGGAUGGCUUUUCAUUAGUGUAAAGAGCUUUUGGAAUAAGGGCUGGGCAAGACCGGUGCCAGCCGCCGCGGUAACACCGGCAGCUCUAGUGGUAGCAGUUUUUAUUGGGCCUAAAGCGUCCGUAGCCGGUUUAAUAAGUCUCUGGUGAAAUCCUGUAGCUUAACUGUGGGAAUAGCUGGAGAUACUAUUAGACUUGAGACCGGGAGAGGUUAGAGGUACUCCCAGGGUAGAGGUGAAAUUCUGUAAUCCUGGGAGGACCGCCUGUUGCGAAGGCGUCUAACUGGAACGGUUCUGACGGUGAGGGACGAAAGUUAGGGGCGCGAACCGGAUUAGAUACCCGGGUAGUCCUAACUGUAAACGAUGCGGACUUGGUGUUGGGGUGGUUUUGAGCUGCUCCAGUGCCGAAGGGAAGCUGUUAAGUCCGCCGCCUGGGAAGUACGGUCGCAAGACUGAAACUUAAAGGAAUU